rnacentral:SRP_RNA from 1 species
GCCGGGUGUGGUGGCUCACACCUGUAAUCCCAGCACUUUGGGAGGCUGAGGCAGGCGGAUCACCUGAGGUCAGGAGUUCGAGACCGGCCUGACCAACAUGGUGAAACCCCGUCUCUA